CGCGCCUCCCGACCCCGGCUGCGCUUCACGCCCGGGUGGUGUCCCGCCUGGUGCAUCUCUUUUACCCACUCUUUCGCCCAUCACCUUCGGCGAAUACCGUGAGAGCAAGGGCAGGGGAGGAAGCGUGAAGAAAACAAAAGCACACACCUCCUAAGCACACGCCUCCUGCUCACUCUGGACCCCGCCCCCGAAAGGGAAGGAACCGGGCAGCAGGGAGGGGGGGGCGACGCCUCAAGCGCCAUCUUUUACGUGGGCGGAAGAAGUUGCUGCUUAAUUUUUCGUUUCCUCGUGGGACGCCGUAGGUACGUCCUGGAGUUUUCGAUUUGCGAUUACGUGAACGCGCGAGCUCCGUGAGAGGGGCGGCGGGGACUGCUCCGCCGCGUGCGUCGGGAAGAUGCGGAGCGAGGUGUCGGCAGGUGUCGGCCGUGUUGUGUUUAGUGCGCGAGGCUGCUGGGCUCCCAGGAAGCCCGAAAUGUCUUCUGUGUUACUUCAGAGCUGGAGUUGAGGACUUGUUGAUUACCUCCGAUUUAUCAGGAUUACAGCAAAUUAGAUUUAACUGUGACUGGCAUGUGAACUAUCUGAUGUUUGGACAGGGAUGAGGAAUAUUGCUAUGGACACCACGGUGAGUUUCAUUUCUUUUAAGUAAUGAGAUUUUAUGUGCUUGCCUUAAUCAUUGCAGACUUAUCAAUAUGCACUUUAUGAUAUAUUAGCUUUUGGUUGAAAUAUGAAUGAGCCAACAACCAACUGAGGUACUUGCAGUUGGAACCUUGGUUACUGGAUAUAUUAAGUUAGUUCCGUGAAACAGUGUGGUAUAAAUGGUUUAGAAAGCUCUGGUAGGUCCACGUCUGUUCUAAUGAUGAGCAAGGUGGACAACACCCCUGUGAGUGAACAUUAGGGUCUCAUGUAUAUUUUCAGGUCCUUCUGAGACUCACCAUUCUAUAAACAAUAAGCUUCUCAAUGAGAGGAAUCACAUCCUCCACCAGGUAUUCACCUCUGUUCCUUCCUCCAUGCUGGUGCUCUGUACCUCACAAACCACAGCUGUGAAUGAUCUAAGGUCCCAGAUAAAGAGUCCUGAGGGAGAAGAAAUCCCUAGUUAAUUGCAGCAUCAUAAGAUGCACAGCAAGAAAGAGAACAAGUAGGAAGACAAGCCUACCAAUUUCUUAAAUCUUAGACGAGAUCAUUAGACAUCCUGAUAAGGUUGCCAUAAUCUGAUGGAAUUCAGAUGCAGUGGGUAGUGCGGAGUGAUAGUUUUGCUGCUGUCCUGCUAUAAUGCCUGAGUGACAGUGGACCAGUGGCAAAUGACUGGCAGCUUUCAAGCAUUCUGACUCCUUCUAUAGCCAUACACUUCCCAGGCCCAUUUCGGAAUGUGGCCCAGAGCCCGACUGCCUUCGGUUACCCUGACUUGCAGCUCUCAGCAUUUUCUUGUUUAUACUUGU
rnacentral:lncRNA from 1 species